CAGGAGAAAAAGCACUUGCGAAGUCUGCUAAACUCAGGUUAAAAGGCUGAUCAGAUGCCUGCUCUACAUGCAAAAUCAUCGAGUGACUGCAGCAAACACCUCUCAGAACACAAAGAAGCAUCAGGCAGGCGGCAGCUAAAACAAGCCCCCGCCGCCGGGGGAAGCAGCCGGUGGGGCUGUGGUUUCCCACCAAUUUCCCCAGCCCUUAGUUGGCGGGGGGAGGAUUAUUAAACCCUUCUGCUUUGCUCUGAAGUGCUUCAAAUAGAAUGGUAAAUCUAAAUAAUGAGGUGCAUGCUGUUCCCUUCAGUAUGUGCCACAGAUGACAAGCAGGGACCAAAACCAGAAAGGAAAACCAUGCUGCUUGUGAAUGGCACGUCAUCUUUCUUGGUGAUCAACAAACCAAUCACAUUUGUACAGCACUAAACCACAGCCAGUCGCUUCAUCCUCCGUGGAAGUGCUGCAGCUCACAGCCAGGCUGGCAGGGCCACCCCAGCGACGGCGUCCUCUCUGAGGGAAGAGACUGGUUUCCUGAACUCAAAUUUGCCCAUGGCCAUGAGAUGAAGAAGAUGAUUCCUCUUCCAUCUUGUUUUUUUUUUUUUUUUUUGACAGGGAAAUGCAGUAGAAAAUAACUCAAUUUUUAUCUGCUCAACCAUUAAAACACUGAAA